CUAAGCGUGAAGCCCCCCCCAAGAUGAGAUAUCCCUUCCCUUGAGGAAGUAAGACCCCUGAAAGAGUAUCAGGUAGAUAGGACAGGAGUGGAAGCGCAGUAAUGCGUGUAGCGGACUGCCACUAAUCGGUCGAGGGCUUGACCAA
rnacentral:rRNA from 1 species